GGCGGAAGUCUCCAUGAAAAAGUCUACACUUCCAAUUUUCCGCGCAGCACCUCCGUCUUGGCCUCCGGCCCCAACCCCUCACCUUCCGGGUGGGCACAGGACGGAAGGAGCCAUCCUACCAACCCAGCUGUCGCCCCCCCUCCCGGCAACAAAACCCCAAAAGGUUUCCCCCUUUGCCCGGUUUCAACAUGGCGGCCCACGCACAAGCCGACACACCGACCAGGCCAAAUUAUCCUCGUCCUUCUUGCCAGGGUGGGCCCUGCUCCCACCAAACCGCUCCCGCUCACCUCAGCAAGGCUCGGGCUUCCUUUCCCACGGAGGAUGGUACCGAGCUGGAAGCAACGGGAAGAUUCUUCCUCCCUGACUGACCCGACCUUUACAUCGAAGGCAGCAGAUUCGUCACGGGCCCUGUUUCCGGUUUUGCUUUUAAGAAAUUUACUUACAUGCACUGAGCAUCGAAGGUAUACCGUCUCCGAAGAGGAUGAACUUUCCGGUUUUCUAAAAUUUUUCCCGAAGACAGAAACUGCUAAAUUGAACACUUAAGUUGAGAGACUGUCGAAUGUGCAGCUAGUUGUCUGGGAACCGCUGCAUUUCCCUACGUACCGAAGAGAUGUUUCAGCGCCGUGCGGGUUUUAGUUCUCAGGCUGACUUUGAGAAUUUGAUUAAUGCUGUAGUUUUCUCAGAAAAUGCAUAUGCCGGUUCACAAGGGAACUUUGCAUGUCAGUAUAUUCGGGUAGAUUACGGCUUGUGGUACAACUUGAAAUGUCUUGAUCCAAUUGUGCUUUUCUUGAUGAGUGUCUCGUGAUUUCUUCAGCCACUCAUUUUCUGAUUAAUGCUUACAAGUGGCUCAUUUCUGUGAACCGUUGAUCUCAUUUUGAUUCCAGUCCUAUUCUUAGAAGGGGACAUGGGUUUGAUCCCUGAUCCAGGAAGAUCCCACAUGCCAAGGAGAAACUAAGUCCGUGUGCCACAACUAUUGAGUUGUGUGCCACAACUACUGAAGCCCCCGUGCCUAGAGUCCAUGCUCCACAACAACAGAAGCCACUGCAAUGAGAAGCCCGAGCACCACAAUGAAGAAUAGCCCCC